UGCUUUUAGGUUGGAGACUACAUAAGACUUUGACAGUUGGCGGGAAACCAUCAUCAACUGGAGAGAUGCCGGUAGAGGAAUGUCUUCGACUAAGUCAAGGGCCACUGGAUAAGGGUUGUUGAUGGCAAAACAGGUUGGAGACUACAUAAGACUUUGACAGUUGGCGGGAAACCAUCAUCAACUGGAGAGAUGCCGGUAGAGGAAUGUCUUCGACUAAGUCAAGGGCCACUGGAUAAGGGUUGUUGAUGGCAAAACAGGUUGGAGACUACAUAAGACUUUGACAGUUGGCGGGAAACCAUCAUCAACUGGAGAGAUGCCGGUAAAAAGAUGGCCAUAAAACAGUGACCGCUGAUUCGCAUUGAGUUCUUUCUUACAUAUUGGAUGACCUAUGUUUUUUAUUGUUUAAAUCAUUGCGGCUUGGAAUGCUCUUUAAGAAAAGGUAGAGGAAUGUCUUCGACUAAGUCAAGGGCCACUGGAUAAGGGUUGUUGAUGGCAAAACAGGUUGGAGACUACAUAAGACUUUGACAGUUGGCGGGAAACCAUCAUCAACUGGAGAGAUGCCGGUAAAAAGAUGGCCAUAAAACAGUGACCGCUGAUUCGCAUUGAGUUCUUUCUUACAUAUUGGAUGACCUAUGUUUUUUAUUGUUUAAAUCAUUGCGGCUUGGAAUGCUCUUUAAGAAAAGGUAUGGUUAUGGGGGUGUCUACGCGCAAAAGUUUGACUUUAUUUUUUGUUAAAGUUAUUGCUUUUACAUUGAAUUUGUGCAGGAAAUCUUUUGGUAUGUUGUGACCUUGACUG